rnacentral:rRNA from 1 species
UACAGAGGGUGCGAGCGUUAAUCGGAAUUACUGGGCGUAAAGCGCACGUAGGUGGCGACGCAAGUCGGGUGUGAAAGCCCCGGGCUCAACCUGGGAAUUGCAUUCGAGACUGCAUUGCUGGAGUAAGGAAGAGGAAGGCGGAAUUUCCGGUGUAGCGGUGAAAUGCGUAGAUAUCAGAAGGAACAUCAGUGGCGAAGGCGGCUUUCUGGACCAAUACUGACGAUCAAGUGCGAAAGCGUGGGGAGCAAACAGG